rnacentral:rRNA from 1 species
UACGGAGGGUGCAAACGUUGCUCGGAAUUAUUGGGCGUAAAGCGCACGUAGGUGGUUCGGUAAGUUGGAUGUGAAAUCCCUCGGCUCAACUGAGGAAGUGCAUUCAAUACUGCCAGACUUGAGUACCAGAGAGGGCUGCGGAAUUCCCGGUGUAGAGGUGAAAUUCGCAGAUAUCGGGAGGAACACCAGAGGCGAAGGCGGCGGCCUAGAUGGAUACUGACACUGAGGUGCGAAAGCGUGGGGAGCAAACAGG